GUGCCUAACACAUGCAAGUCGAACGGAGUUUAUGAAGUUUUCGGACAGAAUAAACUUAGUGGCGGACGGGUGAGUAACGCGUGGGUAACCUGCCUCAUACAGGGGGAUAACAGUUGGAAACGGCUGCUAAAACCGCAUAACAUUGCGACACCGCAUGGUGAUGCAAUUAAAUAUUUAUAGGUAUGAGAUGGGCCCGCGUCUGAUUAGCUAGUUGGUGAGGUAAUGGCCCACCAAGGCGACGAUCAGUAGCCGGCUUGAGAGAGUGACCGGCCACAUUGGGACUGAGACACGGCCCAAACUCCUACGGGAGGCAGCAGUGGGGAAUAUUGCACAAUGGGGGAAACCCUGAUGCAGCGACGCCGCGUGAGUGA
rnacentral:rRNA from 1 species